UUGAAACUCCAAUUCCCGUACGAUCAUCGAAGUUAAGCAACGUCGGGCCUGAUCAUUACCUAGAUAGGUGACCGCUUGGGAAUACCAGAUACUGUAA